UAGUCCACGCCGUAAACGAUGUGCACUAGGUCGAGGACGUUCUGACGCGAUUCUCGGCCGAAGCGAAAGUGUUAAGUGCACCGCCUGGGGAGUACGGUCGCAAGGCUAAAACUCAAAGGAAUUGACGGGGGCUCACACAAGCGGUGGAGCAUGUGGCUUAAUUCGAAGCAACGCGAAGAACCUUAUCCUGGGUUUGACAUGUAUGGAUUAACUCUGUGAAAGCAGAGCCACGCCUUCGGGUGGAACAUACACAGGUGCUGCAUGGCUGUCGUCAGCUCGUGCUGUGAAGUGUCGGGUUAAGUCCCUUAACGAGCGAAACCCCUGUCGUUAGUUGCUAGCAGGUAAUGCUGAGGACUCUAACGAGACUGCCGGCGUCAAGUCGGAGGAAGGUGGGGAUGACGUCAAGUCCGCAUGGCCUUUAUGCCCAGGGCUGCACACGUGCUACAAUGGUCGGUACAGAGCGACGCGAGACCGCGAGGUGGAGCAAAUCGCAAAAAGCCC
rnacentral:rRNA from 1 species